CCUACGGGUGGCAGCAGUGAGGAAUAUUGGUCAAUGGGCGUGAGCCUGAACCAGCCAAGUCGCGUGAAGGAUGAAGGUUCUAUGGGUCGUAAACCUCUUUUAUAAGGGAAUAAAGUGUGGGACGUGUCCUGUUUUGUAUGUACCUUAUGAAUAAGGAUCGGCUAACUCCGUGCCAGCAGCCGCGGUAAUACGGAGGAUCCGAGCGUUAUCCGGAUUUAUUGGGUUUAAAGGGUGCGUAGGUGGGCUUUUAAGUCAGCGGUGAAAGUUUGUGGCUCAACCAUGGAAUUACAGUUGAAACGGGGAGUCUUGAGUAUGUUUGAGGCAGGCGGAAUGCGUGGUGUAGCGGUGAAAUGCUUAGAUAUCACGAAGAACCCCGAUUGCGAAGGCAGCCUGCCAAGCCAUGACUGACGCUGAUGCACGAAAGCGUGGGGAUCAAACAGGAUUAGAUACCCUAGUAGUC
rnacentral:rRNA from 1 species